CUCGGUGACCAUACCGACGAGGAAACACCUCUUCCCAUUCCGAACAGAGUCGUUAAGCUCGUCAGGGCCAAUGGUACUGCGUGGGUAACUGCGCGGGAGAGUAGGUCGUCGCCGGGG
rnacentral:rRNA from 1 species